rnacentral:rRNA from 1 species
UACGUAGGGUGCAAGCGUUAAUCGGAAUUACUGGGCGUAAAGAGCGUGUAGGCGGCCAGGUAGGUCUGCUGUGAAAACUCGAGGCUCAACCUCGAGACGUCGGCGGAAACCAUCUGGCUAGAGUCCGGAAGAGGAGAGUGGAAUUCCUGGUGUAGCGGUGAAAUGCGCAGAUAUCAGGAAGAACACCCGUGGCGAAGGCGGCUCUCUGGGACGGUACUGACGCUGAGACGCGAAAGCGUGGGGAGCGAACAGG